rfam:Schistosoma margrebowiei strain Zambia genome assembly, scaffold: SMRZ_scaffold0000975
AUCCAGCUGACGAGUCCCAAAUAGGACGAAACGUGCGUCCUUCAU